rnacentral:lncRNA from 1 species
GUGAACUUGGGUAUGGAUAUUAUCGUCAGGAUGUUGGUGGACAUGCAUCCACUAUGCAAUUGCGCUUGAUCUGAAAACCAAGAAGGAUGAAACCCUUGACUCUGAUGUGGUACUCAGGCAGUGAUUAAACGAUGGCCAGAUUUUAAGAUUGUAAAAUAAAGGCUUUAGAAGUUGUUAAACAAAAAUGCCAACAAAGAGACCAUCUAAGUACUUAAUCAACUUGAAAAAAGCUUUACUUAAGUACAAUCUCAUAGACAAACCUCAUUUAAUUUACAAUUGUUGAUGAGAAAAGUGUUGCUAUUCAGGAAAGGUGAAACAGUCACAAUUUUGGUGGUGAAAUGCAGCUAGUAGUGCGUUUCCUCCUAUUCUUUAUCUUUCCUGGACAGAAAGUGAAUGACAGCUGCUGGAGGGGUCUUCCCAGGAUCUGUUGUCACAGCUCUAAAAUGGAGAGCUUAAUUCAGACAUUUUAUGGAUUUCUCCGCAAUCAUUUCAUGAAGAUAGUCCCAGAUAAUGAACUUGUGUUGUUAUUGUUAGAUGGACACGCAUCUCAUUAUCCCUGUUAGACAUUUGAAUGGGCAAGGAACAUAAUAUCAUACUCCAGUUAAUACCAGCAUUCACCAGCCAUUUUUUGCAACCACGGAUGUAGGUUGUUAUGGCCUCUUAAAGAUAUACUACAACAGUCUGUAUAAAAACUAUCAGAACGAAAAACUGGCACUAGAUCACAAUGAUGUGUGCCCAUGUAUGCAAAAGCAUACAAAAAUGCAUUAUCAACUAGUAAUUUGCAAG